UACGUAGGGUGCAAGCGUUAAUCGGAAUUACUGGGCGUAAAGCGUGCGCAGGCGGUUAUGUAAGACAGGUGUGAAAUCCCCGGGCUUAACCUGGGAACUGCAUUUGUGACUGCAUAGCUAGAGUACGGUAGAGGGGGAUGGAAUUCCGCGUGUAGCAGUGAAAUUCGUAGAUAUUGGGAAGAACACCGGUGGCGAAGGCGGCUCUCUGGACCGAUACUGACGCUGAGGCGGCGAAAAGCGUGGGGAGCAAACAGG
rnacentral:rRNA from 1 species